GCUCCGCGGGCAGCAUGGGCGGCUGUGGGCUCCUCUGGGGCUCGGUGGCGGCGCGCUUCUGCCGCGCCCCAGCGGCCUUCGCCGUGAGCCGGCGCCCGCUGCUCACCAGUCCGCCGAGCCGAGCUUUCGCCAAGGAGCUCUUCCUGGGCAAGAUCCAGAAGAAAGAAGCUUUCCCGUUUCCAGAGAUUAGCCGAGAUGAACUUAAUGAGAUUAAUCAGUUUGUGGGACCUGUAGAGAAAUUCUUCACCGAAGAAGUGGACUCUCGAAAAAUUGACCAGGAGGGAAAAAUCCCAGAUGAAACUUUAGAGAAACUGAAGUCCCUGGGGCUUUUUGGAAUGCAAGUCCCAGAAGAAUAUGGUGGCCUGGGCCUCUCCAACACCAUGUACGCGCGGCUGGGGGAGGUCAUCGGCCUGGACGCCUCCAUCGCUGUGACUCUGGCGGCUCACCAGGCCAUCGGCCUCAAGGGGAUCAUCUUGGCCGGCAGCAAGGAGCAGAAGGCCAGGUACCUGCCCAGGCUGGCGUCCGGGGAGCACGUGGCCGCCUUCUGCCUGACGGAGCCAGCCAGUGGGAGUGAUGCCGCCUCCAUCCGGACCAGGGCCACGCUGAGCGCAGAUAAGAGGCACUACGUCCUCAACGGCUCCAAGGUCUGGAUCACCAAUGGGGGACUGGCCAGCAUCUUUACUGUGUUCGCGAAGACGGAGGUCGUUGAUUCCGACGGCUCCGUGAAGGACAAGAUCACAGCGUUCAUAGUAGAGAGAGACUUUGGUGGCGUCACCAACGGGAAACCCGAGGAUAAGAUGGGCAUCCGAGGCUCCAACACCUGCGAGGUCCACUUUGAGAACACCAGGGUGCCAGUGGAGAACGUCCUCGGGGAAGUCGGAGGCGGCUUCAAGGUGGCCAUGAACAUCCUCAACAGCGGGCGCUUCAGCAUGGGCAGCACGGUGGCCGGGAUGCUCAAGAAGCUGAUCGGAAUGGCCGCCGAGUACGCCUGCACAAGGAAACAGUUCAACAGGAGCCUCAGUGAGUUCGGCCUGAUUCAGGAGAAGUUUGCCCUGAUGGCGCAGAAGGCCUACGUGAUGGAAAGCAUGGCCUACCUCACGGCGGCGAUGCUGGACGCGCCUGGCUUCCCCGACUGCUCCAUCGAGACCGCCAUGGUGAAGGUGUUCAGCUCCGAGGGCGCCUGGACGUGCGUGAGCGAGGCGCUGCAGGUGUUCGGCGGCUCAGGCUACGUCAGGGACCACCCUUACGAGCGCUUCCUGCGCGACAGCCGCAUCCUGCUCAUCUUCGAGGGAACCAAUGAGAUCCUCCGCAUGUACAUCGCCCUGACAGGCCUGCAGCACGCCGGCCGCAUCCUGACUGCAAGGGUCAAGGAGCUCAAACGGGGCAACGUGACCACCAUCAUGGAGACCAUCGGCCAGAGGCUUCGGGACUCCCUGGGCCGCACCGUGGACUUGGGACUGACUGGGAAGCUUGGAGUUGUGCACCCCAGCCUUGCGACCAUCGUGGAGGAGCAGCUGGUCUUGAAGCGAGUCGCCAACGUGCUCAUCAACCUGUACGCGAUGACGGCCGUGCUGUCCCGGGCCAGCCGCUCCAUCCGCCUGGGGCUGCGGGACCACGACCACGAGGUUCUGUUGGCAAACAUCUUCUGCUCAGAAGCUUAUCACCAGAAUCUCUUCACCCUGUCUCAGCUAGACAAACGUGAGUGGGUGCUAGGCUUGGGGGGUGGGGGGACCCGGCAUCUGCUGGGCAGCGGAGGGGACGACACGCGCGCCAGGCACCAUGGGCACGGAUGCCGAGGUCGCGUGCACUGUGGGAAGAGGCCUGAGCCCCCGGGGCCCCUCCCCGCGCUCCUUGAGCCCAGAGGCCCCUCCCCGCACGGCGCUGCUGCCUUCAGGGCCCCUCCAUAGGGCGAGCUGCCCUUGUCAGAGAGAGCGCUCCAGUGGCGUCCCUCCUGUCUCCUGCGUAGAUUCUCCAGAAAACCUGGAUGAGCUGGUCAAGAAGGUGUCCCAGCAGAUCCUCGAGAAGCGGGCCUACAUCUGCACCCACCCCCUAGACCGGGCGUCCUGAAGAGGGCCCGUGUCCUCACGGCCGCCGCCCCAGACACACCCACAGCGGCCCGAAGGUACAGAACUUGGUUUAUUACAAACUGACCAUUUCUCUUCUUCACCUGACGGGCCUUUCCUGGGCCCCCGACCUGUGGGCACCGCUGCUAGACGCGAUCUUGGCCUGUGAGUGGAUGUGGGGUGAGCACGGAGCUGCUGAGACUCCCCGGCUCGGGGGGCACUCGGAGGAGGCUGGUGGGCACAUGUCCCAGCGCGGUGCAUACAUCUGCGAGGCCGCACGCUCUCCAAGAAACAGCUCGAAAACUGCAUGCGUGUCGUUGGUUUUAAUUUGGAACGAAAGGCGCUUAGAACAUGUACCAGGAAACGUUCAGCACAGCUUGUCUGCCCUUCGAGUGUGGGCAGUCUAGACCCACAUCUCCUCUCAGCCAGCCUUGAGUGGACAGAGCUUGAUCCUCAGGCCUGCUGUCUGGGGCUGGUUUCCAGGGCCCUUGGUCCCCAGCAUGAGGGCUGUGCGCCUCGGCGCUGGGCUUGCUUGGGUGACAGCAGGGCUGUUCUGGAGCCCCUCGGCCUCUCCUUGAGCACAGCACUGUCUCCCCCGGCUCGAGCUGGCCUGGGUCCGGGCCCCUGUCUCCUCCUUGCUGACAUCCUUGUUCCGCAUGCUCACCUGGCAGGCUUCAGGCUCUGGUCUGGCCCCUGGGUGGUUUGUCCAGAAAGCUCACCCUCCACAUUGCCUUGAGGCAUCCAGGCUUUCCUGCUCGGGUGGGGCCGAGCGAGCGCCCAGAACCCUGACAGCCUCUCUCCCAAAGGUCCUACCUGGGGCUUCGUGGGGAAGUCGUUUCCAAAG
rnacentral:lncRNA from 1 species